AGUGAACGCUGGCGGUAGGCCUAACACAUGCAAGUCGAACGGCAGCACAGAGGAGCUUGCUCCUUGGGUGGCGAGUGGCGGACGGGUGAGGAAUACAUCGGAAUCUACUCUGUCGUGGGGGAUAACGUAGGGAAACUUACGCUAAUACCGCAUACGACCUACGGGGGAAAGCAGGGUACCUUCGGGCCUUGCGCGAUGGAACGAGCCGAUGUCGGAUUAGCUAGUUGGCGGGGUAAAGGCCCACCAAGGCGACGAUCCGUAGCUGGUCUGAGAGGAUGAUCAGCCACACUGGAACUGAGACACGGUCCAGACUCCUACGGGAGGCAGCAGUGGGGAAUAUUGGACAAUGGGCGCAAGCCUGAUCCAGCCAUACCGCGUGGGUGAAGAAGGCCUUCGGGUUGUAAAGCCCUUUUGUUGGGAAAGAAAUCCAGCUGGCUAAUACCCGGUUGGGAUGACGGUACCCAAAGAAUAAGCACCGGCUAACUUCGUGCCAGCCGCCGCCGUAA
rnacentral:rRNA from 1 species